rnacentral:rRNA from 1 species
UACGUAGGCGGCAAGCGUUGUUCGGAAUUACUGGGCGUAAAGAGUGUGUAGGCGGUGCUCCAAGUCUGGUGUGAAAUCUCCCGGCUUAACUGGGAGGGUGCAUUAGAAACUGGAAUGCUAGAGGAUGGGAGAGGUAAGCGGAAUUCCUGGUGUAGCGGUGAAAUGCGUAGAUAUCAGGAGGAACACCUGUGGUGUAGACAGCUUACUGGACCAUUUCUGACGCUGAGACACGAAAGCGUGGGUAGCAAACAGG